rnacentral:rRNA from 1 species
UACAGAGGGGGCAAGCGUUAUUCGGAAUUAUUGGGCGUAAAGGGCGCGUAGGCGGCCUGACAAGUGGAUGGUGAAAUCCCUCGGCUUAACCGAGGAACUGCCAUCCAGACUGUUCGGCUUGAGACCGGGAGAGGUGAGUGGAAUUCCCAGUGUAGCGGUGAAAUGCGUAGAUAUUGGGAGGAACACCGGUGGCGAAGGCGGCCUGCUGGGCAGUGGCUGACGCUGAGGCGCGACAGCGUGGGGAGCAAACAGG